GUGAGGAAUAUUGGACAAUGGAUGGAAAUCUGAUCCAGCCAUGCCGCGUGCAGGAAGACGGCCCUAUGGGUUGUAAACUGCUUUUGUAUGGGAGCAAUAAGGGUUACGAGUAGCCUGAUGAGAGUACCAUACGAAUAAGGACCGGCUAACUCCGUGCCAGCAGCCGCGGUAAUACGGAGGGUCCGAGCGUUAUCCGGAUUUAUUGGGUUUAAAGGGUGCGUAGGCGGUUUUAUAAGUCAGCGGUGAAGUUUUCCGGCGCAACCGGGGGACUGCCGUUGAUACUGUAAGGCUAGGGUAUGGUUGCUGUGGGUGGAAUGUGUGGUGUAGCGGUGAAAUGCUUAGAGAUCACACAGAAUAGCGAUUGCGAAGGCAGCUCACAAAGCCAUCAUUGACGCUGAGGCACGAAAGUGUGGGGAUCAAACAGGAUUAGAAACCCUUGUAGUCC
rnacentral:rRNA from 1 species